AAAUAUCGGAUUGCUUUGUUCCUUGAAGUGGGCGUCAAAGAGCCCACAAAGCAAAGUGACGAAUGGGCCCAGCCCACCACAUUAUUCUCCACCGGUAGUGCCCACUGCCCAGCAGCGCAAAAGAAGAUCUGCCAGAUUUGCAGCGAGCAAAUCGGAAUCAGAAUGGCGAAAAUUGAAGCAUACAACGGUGAUGAUGAAUAUGAACCAUCCAAGAAAAAUAUAAAAACCCGAAAAAGAAAUCACGGGUCAACUAAAUUCUUCUUGUUUCUUGAUUAUGUCUUCCUUCUCAUCUUCUUCCUCUUUCUAUUCUUCUUUCUUUACAAGUUUUUUACCCAUUAGCCCCCAGGGGAGAUAGAGUAUGAUUACUCUAUUGGGGAAUUGACGCUUCCUUCAGAUUUUUGAUGUGAGAUCAACAAACUUCUCUUUGAUAUGUAAGCUAUGACUAGGCAAAAGCUCCUCCAGCAAAUGUUAUUAGUAAAACUUCUUCGAAAAAUAAGGAUGCAACGUAAAUGUAUGGCCCUUCCUCUUAUUUACAUGCAAAAGCAUCAGAAUUGUAAUUGCUAAAA